rnacentral:rRNA from 1 species
AACCUCCGCAAUGUGAGAAAUCGCGACGGGGGGAUCCCAAGUGCCAUUCUUAACGGGAUGGCUUUUCAUUAGUGUAAAGAGCUUUUGGAAUAAGAGCUGGGCAAGACCGGUGCCAGCCGCCGCGGUAACACCGGCAGCUCUAGUGGUAACAAUUUUUAUUGGGCCUAAAGCGUCCGUAGCCGGUUUAAUAAGUCUCUGGUGAAAUCCUGUAGCUUAACUGUGGGAAUUGCUGGAGAUACUAUUAGACUUGAGACCGGGAGAGGUUAGAGGUACUCCCAGGGUAGAGGUGAAAUUCUGUAAUCCUGGGAGGACCGCCUGUUGCGAAGGCGUCUAACUGGAACGGUUCUGACGGUGAGGGACGAAAGUUAGGGGCGCGAACCGGAUUUAGAUACCCGGGUAGUCCUAACUGUAAACGAUGCGGACUUGGUGUUGGGUGGCUUUGAGCUGCUCCAGUGCCGAAGGGAAGCUGUUAAGUCCGCCGCCUGGGAAGUACGGUCGCAAGACUGAAACUUAAAGGAAUU